AUUUUUAAUUGAAUAAAUGCCAAAUAAAUUGUGUAGAGCCAUUUUGAUUGACUUUGGAAGUUUGACUUGUGUUGUUGGACCUUGGUCAAGGUUGAUUUGACUUUGUUAAGUUAAGAUCAUUGGAUUUAGGGGGAUUGAUGGAAUGUACAUUCCAUUUCCCAAAAUGAAUGAAUGAUCUUAAUUUGGUAAAAGUCCUCUUUUG
rnacentral:lncRNA from 1 species